UUACGGUCAUAUCACGUUCAAACAUCGGUUCUCGUUCGAUCACGAAGUUAAGCAACGUUGAGCCUGGGAACUACUGAUUUGGGUGACCGCCGGGGAAAUAUAAGUACUGUAAG